rnacentral:lncRNA from 1 species
GAACUGAGAACAGCUGAUGUUGAACUGGUUGCUAAGAAGGUGUCAUGUAGCAUAUUGGCUUAUAUAAACUCUUUGUGGUGAUUACAAAAUAGCUUCUUAUCUCUGUGGAUGUGCAACUCCUGAAACAUAAAGCUUGAGGACACAUGUACUAACUUAAUGUUUGUUGAAGACUUCUUGUCAAUUUUAUUAAGCUAUACUCAACCAAAAGAUGUACCCAGGUCCUAGGUCACUGACUGUUCAUGGUAUGCUGAUAGCUUCAAGACAUGACUGGUCAGGGAGCUAGAUAUUCUCAUCUAGGCACCCUUUUCCAUGAAAGGUUGAACCAGAUUAUCUUUUCAGACCCAUUCCAUCUGGGACUGUUCUGUGAUUCAUAGCAGCCCCCUAGGAAAUGAGGAAAGCUAUGAGAAACAGUCUCGAUUUCUACUGAGAUGUGGGCAUCAAUAGUUAGGGUUCCAGCAAGGGAAAUCUACUGAGCAGUUUAUAUCUAGACCACACUUUACCAUUCAAGUAGCCAAAUUCUAAAUGACAAAAAGUUUCCCGUUGUUUUUUCUCUUACAUUAAUGAAGAUACAGAAGAAUAGCUGCAGUGCUGCUUCAGCUCUUCUGGCUAGGUAACUAUGGUGAAGGUGUCUGUCCCCAUUAAGGAACAGGAUUUACACACAGAUUAAAAUUUACUUAAAAUCAGUACCUCAUGUCCCUCCACCAGGUAUGGAGCUACCACUCUUCUAUACAAAGGCAGACAUCACUACACAGGAGAGCUGCACAGAGAGUGUGUCUGGGAGUAAGCACCCUCCUCAUGGACCUCAGGAACCAGCAUACAGAUACUGCUGCAACACAAAUGUCUGUGCAGAGCAUCUCCAAGGACAGCUAUGAGCAGGUAACCAAUCUUUGCUAUGGUGUUUUAUUUUAAGAUGGUGCGAUGUUGUCCUUUUAUCACACAAGGUGCCUGUAAACAGUGAGAUUACAGUUUUUAUAGUUGUGGUUAACAGGCCAUCCUGUGCUGCUGAGAAAUGCUGGUUAAAACUCAAUUUGAUGGAGUAGGUUUUAACAUAGGCUCCUCUUAGUUAUACUGAAUUGUGUGCAGCAAUCUUUUGAUAUUUCAGAUUAAUUGAGGUUUAAGAAGAGGUUGUUGUUAACUGAUGAAUAAUUGCUUUUCCAGACCACACAGUUAGAACUUUAAUUUAUUGGGGGUGAUAAAAUCAUGUACCAUUUGAGGUGUCUACUUUCUACUCAGGGUGUCGGUGUCACCAAAUCUCUUCUUCCAUAUUCCUUUGUUGUAACUUUUUUUCAGGAUAUGUCUUUACCUGAAAGAAACACUACUGAAGAUACUCCUAAAAAUACGUUAUUCUUGGGUUUCGGUCUCAUUUUUAUUUGUGAAUUCUUAAUUUAAAAACAAAACAAACAACAACAAAAACAAAGCCUGAAACUACUAGUGGUAUUAAACUAUUUUCAAAUGAGAGUACUAGAAGAGAGGGUGACAAACAAACUCUAAAGGAGUGUGGCUGAAUUGAUAUGCUAUAGACUUACAUGUUGUACCGAGUUUUGAAGAUGGUGAUGGCUUUCCUUGCAAUCAGUUUUUAUACCUUUUUUCGUGCAUUCAGUAAACAUGAGUAUAGACAGUGGGACACUUUCAACAGACUUUAAUAUCAUUAGAUCUAAAUAGUAAGGAGCAGGGUAAAAAAGUGGAAAAAUAUGUUGUGAAUGAGGGAUAUAAAAGACUUCCUUGGCUCCCACCAUGGUAAGAACUGCUGUGGUGGAUCAGACCUGAAGAUCCACAUAGACUCAUAAGUAGCAGCUGUUCUGCUUCAGGCUGACUGGACAAAGAGAGAGGGAUCAGUCUGCUGGUAUGUUUUCCCAACUUAUACACAUCAAUGAUAUAAGGACCAAUGAUUCUCUAGUAUAUGUUAAUG